ACGCGUGGUUCUGCGUUUCGCGUUUGGAUUUUCUUGUGACUAUUUUACGUACAACAGGAGAUUCCCAUCUCAACAUAUCUUUCACCGAAGAAACUCGGUCACCGUCAUUACCACCGCUGAUCUCGCGUUUCUUACGCUUCUAGCAGCAUCGACGCGGUUCUCGCCGGUAUGUUGACGAAAACUGCGUUUUUGCUCCGGUUCGGCGACUUAGGUUCGAAGAGUGGAGAUUUCUUUUGGUCAGGCGAUUCACGCAGGGAGAAGAAACAGGCAUUGCGACAGAAACGCGAAGGAAGUCCAGCGUUUUGAGAGAUGGCUCUUCGUUUCUUGACCUGUAAAUGCGUUGCUGGAGGAUUGAUUUGGCAACGUCGGUCGGAGAUGUAACUCUGAAGUUGAAACGGUUCUUGGUCUUCUUCAAGAAGAUCUUUUAAGUGUCUCUGAGACGCCAUUCUAUCAAGUAUUCAGACAACAACAAAGUAAGAAGAAGACAAGACAAAUGUUUCAAGUCUUUCAGUUUGUAACUAAAGAGAAAGUGUUGUGUUUGAACUCUGCUAGAGAUAGAGAGAUUGUGAUGGUGAUUCAAAAAAUGCAGAUGGUUAAGAAGAUCGAGGCAAAGGGUAGGAGCUUGUAGGUAGGAGCUAGGAAGAAACAAAACACAAAUUAUAAAAAUUAAUUUUAUUUUUGUCUAGGUUUUUUUGUUUGUUGUGUAAUGGGUGAUUUAAGAGCACACCAUCAAAAAUAAAAGUAUUUUAAAAUUCAUAAGGCAACCUCAAUGUUAUACCAGCCAUGAACACAAAAACAUUUAUUUAAUGGAAUUGGUCCCCUUUGUAUUUAAUUCCUCUUUGUUAUUUAUUAUUUUCAUGCCCGCAAUUAUUUCACUUCUAGUUAUUUUUUAUUUAUAUUUCGAUGAGUGAUUUCUUUUGUUUCAUCUCUCUGUGUUUUAUGUAUAAAUAGAUACAAAACAAAAAAAAAUCUAGGGAGCGUUUGUUUCGAUAAUAGCAUGGAAUAGUUGUUUUCAUUUUUCACAUUUGCGUGAAACUCUUUUUUUUUCCUUCAGAGGCAAAAGCGUUGACGAUCACAAAGAGGAAAGAAAAUAAGUAUAUUUUAAAAAUUAGGGCUAACUAAAAGAAAUAGUGAAAGAGAUUAAUACAAACGACAAAAGAUAAAAACACGCAUUCCCAAUUUAUUAUAGGAGCUGGAUAUUGACUGCAUCUGCUUCUUUGACGACCCUUUACUUCUCACCUUCAUGUUAAAAAUAAUUUAGUCUUUGUCUGAAACUUCACACGAAUAAAAUUAAAUUACACUGAAUGGUGUUUUUAAGUUAGAAGACUCUACGCUGAUAGUUUAAGCUUCGAUGCGUAAAAUAUGUUUCUGUUGGCAAAUAAAUAACAAAAAACUAUAACUAUAACUUAAUUAUAGUAAGAAGUUUAAAAACAAUAAAAAAUCUGUGAAGCAUAUUAAGUUUCAAAUUAUGUGGAGCAUAUCAACAAAUUUAUGUAACUAUCCGUUUGGCGUUACAUAUAAAUUAAUGAAUUUUAAGUAGAGAAUGAACUAAUUUAAUAUGUUGAUAGACUCUUUGUGUAACUUGUUGAUUAUAAAAAAAAAACUACAUAUAUA